rnacentral:rRNA from 1 species
AUUCAGGUUUGUCAACUCCUGAUCUCAUCAGAGCUCAGAAGCUAAGCAAGGCCGGGCCUGGUUAGUACUUGGAUGGGAGACCGAUGAGAAUACCAGGGG